ensembl:snoRNA
CCGCACUGCUAAGUGACUGGACUUCCUACUCCAUGGUUUUCCAAUCUCAUUCCAGUGCUAGAUUAACCUCUCCUAGCAGAAGGGGUGAGCUUCCUCCAUGGCUUCCUCCUUUCGAAGGCAGAGAACAAAC